GGCGCUGCACGCGCGUGCGCAGGAGUCUCGCUCGCCGUUCGCGCCGGGCUGUGGGUGUGGAAGCCGGGCCCCGCGGAGGUCUGCGCCCACCAGCACCUCAGUGGGGACCACCACGUCGGCUGACCGACUGCUUUCUUCGCCGGGUCUUCUGGCCUCCUCCCUGUGAGGGUGGCAGAACCUGCUCCUCCAAGUGGCAAAGGAGGAACCGAGAGGCAAGGGCCUUCCUGCGGCAUCCGGGAGUCCAGAUGCUGGGUUCUCUAGUUGCUUUUUUUUUUUUUUUUUUUUUUUCCCGUAAGCUAAAGCUGAGCGCUGAGUGGGAAGCCUCCAAUGCCGAAAACUGGUUUUCUUACAGUAUCAGUUUGAGUGUGUCAGUGACAAGUAGCAGUUCUCCAGAGGCGAAAGGCGCCGGGUCAGAAUGGAUAAAUAUAGACAGGAAAAGAAGCUGGCCUUUUCCUACCCUUACUCGCCAGAGGGUUUUAACGCUUGGAGAAAGGUGCCUCUUCUGCAUUAGUGGAUGUGGAGCCCCUAGGUAAGGCUCUGCGGCUCAGGGAAGGAUAACAGGUCUUGGGGUCAAAUGCACGGUCCAGCCAGCUCCUUCCCAGCGCUGUGACCUUGCUCGGGUCACCUCGCUAAAGCUUGGUCUGCUCAUCUGUGCAAUGGGAUGAGAGAGGGGGGAUCAGCGCUGAGCAGCACAGGAGAGCGGCUGCCAGGGAGGCCCUGGAAAAGGCUUUGGCAGUGGUCUUUCUGCUUUUAGAGGCUGGGAAUUGUUCACUCAACCUGUGUGAGUAGAAACCCUGGGGGAAGUUGGACCUCUGCCAAGGAAGGGAAAUUUAUUACCUUCCAGAACAGUAAGUUAUUUUUGCAGACAGCUCUGUUUGAAAGUUCUUCCUGGUACUGAGUUAAAGUAUAUACCCUUGAGGAGUUCCUGUCCUGGCUCGACAGUAAACGCAUCUGACUAUUAUCCAUGAGGACGCAGGUUCGAUCCCUGGCCUUGUUCAGUGGGUUAAAGAUCUGGCGUUGCUGUGAGCUUGGUGUCGGUGGAGGACAUGGCUUGGAUCUGGUGGUGUUGUGGCUGCGGUAUUAGGCAGCACCUGCAGCUCCCGUUUGACCCCUAGCCUGGGAAAAACAAAACAAAGAAACUGAGUUCCUGGAAUCAGGAGCAGCCUUAUCUGAUUUCCACCAACCCCUGUAGGCUAAGGCAGCGCACUUGCUCCUGAACUGAACUUGGCUCUUCUUGCUCACUGAGCAGCAAAGCCAAUUUACUGAUGCCGUGGUGCGUGUUUACUGUAGGCACCGAGCAAGAUCCAAACUCCUCGGUGGUUUCCAGGGAAAGAGUUUCAAAGACAACAUUGGGGUGAGGGUUUUAGCUCUUGAACUUCCUUCUGAUUGGUGGGUGGUGAGUUAACGGGUGAUGUUUCAGGAACCUUCUGCUUCCAGCCAGUCUGUGGUCGGUGUGCUUGUGGUCCCCAUGCCGUCAACAUCCUCCACCUGGGUGGGUGGGGUCUUAGUUUCUGCAGAACAACGCAAAGAUAUGUAUCCGAUUGGAUGACAGUUGUUACGGAGGAACUGGGACUGUUUUAUCGGUGAACUGGUUUCUUGAGUGUUUUUCCUCUGUGUCUUCAGUCCUUUCAGUUCCCUAAUUAAUAACUGCUUGAAUCUGCUCUUUGGAGCUCAGGGAAGUCCUGCGAGACUAAAGCCCUUUUUCACAAACCAGAAAUGGGGGACACAGAGGGGCUUUGGCACCCAGGAGAGCCCCACAGGGUCCUGCUUGGUUUCAUAUUUUUGGAAAUUCACAAAUGCCCCCAUUUUAAAAGGUAAAAUAUUUAAAUAAUUAUGUUAUUGGUUGAUUUUUUUAAAAAGAUAGAAAUUUAAGCUGAUAUCAUUACUUCCUUUAAUGGGAUAAAAGAUUUAGGAUUGUCAUUAAUAUUUACGGUAUUACAAUAUUAUAAAAUAAUUGGAAAGUGAAAUGAAAACAUUUACACAAAAAAACUGUACUUGAAUGUUUAUAAUACAUUUAUUCAUAAUAAAAAACUGGAAACAACCUAAAUAUCCUUCAGCUGGAUUAACAAACGUGGUAAAUUCAUUCGAUGAAAACUACCCGCACUAAACAGGGGCAACUUACUGAGGCAUGAAACUCUUGGAUGGAUUGCAGAUGAAUUAAUAUGAAGUGAAAGACAAGUUGGUGGAUGGAUCUCAGAUGAAUUAUGUGAAGAGAAAGGUAAGACAGUCUCAAAAGGCUACACAUUGUAUGAUUCCAUCCUUGUGACAUUCUGGAAAAGGUAAAACUAUGGAAACAGAACACAGAUCAGUGGCUCCCAGGGACUGGAAAUACAAAGAGGGGUUGACUACAAAGGAGCAGGAGAAAUUUGGGGGAUUCGAGACAGUUUUAUAUAUGUAUAUUUGUCUUUUUAGGGCUGCACCAGUGCCAUAUGGAAGUUCCCAGGCCAGAGGCUGAAUCAGAGCUGCAGCCACCGGCCUACACCACAGCCACAGCAAUGCCGGAUCCUUAACCCACUGAGCAAGCCCAGGGACCAAACCCACAUCCUCAUGGAUACUAAUCUGGUUCGUUACCCCUGAGCCACAACGGCAACUCCCUGUAUUUUUUGUCUUUUUGGCGACGUCGGAGGCAUGCAGAAGUUCCCAGGCCAGAGAUCGAACCCCUGUCACAGCAGUGACAAUGGCAGAUCCUUAACCCGCUGAGCCCCUGGGAACUUCUCUGUAUCUUGAUUGUGGUGAUGAUGGAUACCUGAAGAUAUGCAUUUGUCAAAUUAUACAUUAAAUAGGGUGCCUUUUACUGUAUGUAAGUUAUAUCUUAAAAAUGAAAAAAGAUGAACAAAGGAAAAGAAAAAAGAAAUGGGAAACAAAAAAAGUGCUUGGCAAUACGAGAGUUCUCAUACACGGAGUAUCACGUAGCCACGACACCUUUUUAGUGGAAGGAUAUUUAGGGACAUGGAAAAAUGCUCACGAUCACAUAGUGAAAGAACGAAGCAGGGGACCAAGCUGCAUUUAGAGGAUGAUCCCAGUUUCGUAACACACACACACAUCAGUGACGCGGACAACAGAACAUGUGCACAGGUGCGAGUGUAGAAAGAAGACGAGAACAAAUGCACCUCAGCAUCAGCAUCAGCAGCAUGACCUCAGGAUGUCGGGAUCCAGGAUGGCUUUUCUCUUUUCUUUCUUUUUUUUUUUCCCCUGCCCACAGCAUGUGGAAGUUCCUGGGCCAGGGAUCGGAACCCGAGCCAGAGCAGAGACUUGCGCCACAGCAGAGACAAUGCCAGAUCCUUUACCUCCUGAGUCACCAGGGAACUCCAAGGAUGACUUUAAUGUUUUUCUGAAUACUUUUGCUGAGUUUCCAAAUUAUCAUGUGCACCUUUGUUCCUUUUACAGCUACAGAAAUGCCAUAAACAUUGUUAUUUGAAAAUAUUAUAGAGGGAGGGAACAGCCUGGCUGUCUUGACCCGGAAGUGGCCAUUGAGCUGCAGGUGGUUGGCUGGCAGUCGUCUCACCUUGGUGAUCAAGUGCCAUAGGGCUGGGGCUGUUUGUUCUCAGACUUCUUGGCCAGGCAUUCGGGUUUCAUGGAAGCCGCCUGCUGUGCUGCAGGUCAGGGCUUUGGCCCACUGGGAGCUGGCGUUAGUUACCCUUUUCCUUAGAGAGCGAUGUUAUUUAUGCAGGCCAUUUGUUCAUCCGUUGCUGCCUUCCUUCAUUUUCUAACCCUUUCCACAGAGGAUUUGGAGGUGUCUAAAACACUGUCAGUUGAGUUUUAUUGGAUGUUUCAAAGUCGAUUUCAUUUUUUCUUUUCAGGUGAGCUGCACAAGCACUGGGGCUGGAGGGAAGAUUAAGGCUCCGUCUCUGCACUGAUGAGCUUGCUGUUCAGUGGGGCAGACAGACGUGUCAGCAGUGACGAUGGGUAGGGAGAGCGCAUGGGGCGCUGAGCAGGGCCUUUCAGGUGGCUGGGCUCCAUCCUGUAGGUCCUGUGGGAAUCUGCUAAUCACAGCUGGGGACAGGCACGGCCUCCUCCUCAGAGGCAGGCGCCCUCAUAGUCCAACAGCACAACCUAGUGGGCAGGGCCUGGCACUGCACGCCCCACGUCGGAAUCUAGCUCGGCAGUGCGGUAGCUGUUGCACCUCGGGGAAGUUAGCUAACCUCUCUGUGCCUCAGCUUCCUUAUCUAUAAAAAUAGGAGUCAUAAUAUUUACUCAGUUCAUAGAGCUGCUGUGAGGAUUCAGUGAAUUAAUAAAUGCUGAAGAGUUUAGAACAGGGUCUGGCACAGAGUGAAAUACAAAUGUUUAUUGUUGUUGUCACUUUACAGAAAUGAAGUAUUUUACUCAAGGUAAUAUAGCUAAUUAAGGCUCCACAGAGGGGCCAAGUUUGAGUGCAGGGAAUAUGACCUCACAGUCCAAUCCCUGCUCUUAACCACUGGCUUCGUUUUUAUGCUUUUGUAAGUUUCAGAGAAAAAAAUACUUUGUCAGAUUGUGGUGAACCAUCCAGCCUCCUUAUAUAUAGUUUCACAUAUGGAUGAAUAUAUGGCUUGAAGGAAGCGUUCCUGCCCAUCUGGAGUCUGAAUUACUUUGUAUCUCUUUUGGCCGCACCUGCAGCCUGUGGAAGUUCCCAGGCCAGGGAUCAAACCUGAGCCGCCACAGUGAUGAUGUGGAAUUCUCAACCACUAGGCCACCAGGGGGCGCCGUGUCUGCAUUACUUUGGUGGCGGCUUGAGUUGGGAUGGUAGCUGGGGUAGGACUCCUUUAUAACAAGGUGCCCCCUAGUUGUAUGGGUUUUUGUUUGUUUGUCUGUGUUUUCCUUUUUUGUCUGCCCCGCGGUAGGGGAAGCUCCUGGGCCAGGGCUCAGCUCUGAGCUGCAGUUGCAAACUAUGCUGCAGCUGUGGCAACACCAGAUCCUUAACCCACUGCGCUGGGCUGGGGAUCGAACCUGCUUCCAGUGCUCCAGAGACACCACUGAUCCCGUUGUGCCAUGGAAGGAGCUCCCCCAUAUUUGUGUGUUUUAACAAGCAGUUUCACACCCUUGAUCCCAAAUGAUGAUGAGAAAGAGAAGAGUGACCCGCUUCCUCCCUGAGCUCCGGAGACCCUUCCCGGAAGGCGAAGGUGAGUGUGGGCCCUUCUUCGCGUCUGUCCUGGCACCACCAAGUCUCGCACACAGUCGGUGCUCAAGAAGCACCUGGUGGGUGACCACAAGCCAGGAACAGAAAAUAGGGAGCCGGCCAACUCCCUGCCAGGCCUGGCUCAGCUCCCCCAGCUUCUUCCUCUGUGACCACGAGCACAUCGCUCCUUCCCCUCACUCGCCUCAGUUUCCCCAUGAACAAGGGGGGCCCUUCUCACCCCCAUCCCUGUUCUGAUGGAUUGUACGCUGCCCCCCUACGAGCCUGCCCCUGGUACCUGAGGCCUUGGCACAGCCCAGAUCCCCAGGUCACCCAGAGGCGGCCAGGCCAGGCCUGGCGGGGGACUUGCCUGUGUUUAGGGGGGUCAGGACACGGGCUGACGCUGUUCCUCCUCAGAAGAACCCAGUGUUUUAGCUUGAGCUGUGGUCAGAGCCCUGUCCUGGUCACUGGACCAGAGCUUGCUUGCCCUCUGGGCGUUCCUGGGUAGCAUAGAGGGGAUGAGAUAGCCCCUCCCACCCCUCAGAGGGGACAGGAGCAGGCUGCUCAGGGCCCCAGGGACCCCGGAGGGUGGUGUGGAUGCAGCAGUGAUCCAGGGGGAGAAGGGGCAGCUUGGCCCAGGCUAUGUGGGAGGGGACAGAAAAGCAAAGAGGAUUUGGUGGCCCAGCAUGGGGCGGGGGGCGCAGGAGGGGCAGCAAAGGAUGCCAGAGGGUCCUGGCUGGGGACGGGGAGGAUGAGGUGUCACGCAUACUCACGGGAAAAGUGACCACCUCCUGAGCACCUGUGGCCCUUCACCCCUUACUCUACGCCUCCGACCGGGAGGCAGGCAUCACUCUUGCCUGGAGGAGACGAGGCCCAGAGGAGAGGGUUAAGGCUUCUGAGCUCACCCCGAGACCAGGACACGCCGGGGCCCAGUGAGUGGUCCCUUCAGGAUUCCUUGCAGGAGCCCCGAGGAUGACAGGGAGCUGAGAAAAGGGCUUCACUCAGACGGUAUUUCCCCUUGACUUUUGAGGGUUCCUCCCGCAGCCCCCGGCUUUUGAUCAGCUCGUGGAGGGAGCGAGGAGGGGCUCUCCCCUCGAGACUCCCGCAGAUGUGUAUUUAAACCACGGUACUGUCCAUGGGGCCUGGGGCACGUCACUGAACUUGAGUUCCCAGGCCUUGUGUGUCUUCUGCAAAAUGGGGCAACUUGGGCUUCCCCCGUGGGCUGGCAUCCCGGUGUAGGAGCUGGGCCAGUGCCAGGACUGGCUGGCCAGCAGGCCCCGGGAGCCGCUGUCACCCCUCCCUCACCCUGCGCCCGUGUCUUUCUGAGGGAGCCUGGGCUGGUGAGGCAGAACUGCUGUCUGCCUUGGGCCACGUGCAGCUGCGACGGGCUCCAGCUCCCCCUCAGAAGUGGGGAACAGGGGCCCCAUCACCAUCAGGCCGGGUGUGGGUGACAGGGCUCCGUCCUGGGCUCUCUGGGGGCUGGGCAAAGGAACACUGCCGAGGCCGCUGCCCGGGGCGGGGCGGGGGGCAGCCCUCAGCUCUUUUCUCGUUUUGCCCCAGCCUCCUUUUGGCUCAGGUCACCCCAGUGAGGGUGUGGGGGGGUCCUUGGGGGAUUUUAUUUGGUGCCACGGACCAGCUGGGGCUCCUGGGUAAGUCUGGCCCUUGCAGCCCGUGUCCACCUCUGUAUAAUGGACAUGGGGACACCCAGCCCCCCGGGGCAUGUUUGGAGACGGGGAGGUUCUUGGCAGAUAGUGUAGGUUAAGAGGCCCGGUGCACAGCGGGCGCUCAGGAAGUGUUCGGGGGGCUCAGGUGGUGAGUGCCCCCUGGUCUGGGCCUGCUGUUCGGCCUGGGGGAGGGGGAAGGGGGGGCACCAGCCUGCUGCCCACACUGCAGCGGGUGUAGAGGAGAGAGGCACCCCGAGGGGUUCAGGUGCCUCAACCCCAACCUCCAGCUUGGGAGGGCCAGUGGGACAGAGACACGGCGCCCUGGGCGGUGGGCUUGUGCCUGGGAUCUUGCCUGGCUCCAGAGGUGAACACCCGUGAAGACACGUCUAACAGGCGAUGUGAGCGUGAGGCACACGCACAGCACGGACUGUCACACUCAUGAGAUCAACUGUUUAUUGACGUUUUUUUCUAAAAUACUCUACAUUUUAAAGAAACUCCUACACUGCAAAGACUUGACAAUUUUUUGGUAAAUCUGUAGCAAAGGAAUGAGGAUUUCUGCUGGUAAGUUUUCAUGACAGACACACACACAUCCACUUUCCAAGUAAGACAUCAAGCUCCCUGGAAACACUGAACAAAAUGCAUAGCUUGUGAUGGCGGCAGCCAUUUCUCAAUGUCCAAGUAGCACAAAAUAAAGAUUUUCCCCUCCCUCCCUGGCCUGUGAUUACAGUGUAGCUUCCUGCUCCCUGAUGGCUGCGGACACUUGGAGGAGACCCUUGUGCUGGGGGGUGAGACCCAGCUUUUGUCUGCUCGAGAGGGAUACGGGCGACUAUGAGAUCUGCAGCUGCUGCAAGGACACAGGAGCUUGUACAGUGUUCGCCGCGGAGAGGACUAAGGCGGUUAUUGGAAGCUGGCCCGCAGCUGGGCAGUGAGGACAGGUCUCCCGACAGCGGGCUCCGCUUCCGAGGCCUGGAGCCCGAGCGCCUGGGCCUGAACGCACGGUCUUCAAGCAGUUUACAAAUUAAACCCACUGUCAAAAGCUGUUAAAUCUCAUUAACACAGUAGACGAGCUCUUUAGAUUCUCUGAAUAUCAAAUAACAUGUACAGAUAUACACCAAGACACGAGAGCCUGGUACAAAGCAUCUCAACUACAGAUGCAUUUGCUUGCAAAGUUAGUCUUCUUAUUUUUUAUUUUUAACCUUUCAAAUCACUGAUGAAAUCGUUAAUUUGUAAGAGUAAAGUAUUAAGCACAAGUAAGAGUGAAAAUAGUUUUUAAAUACGGCGACUUUAGCGAGCACUACGUAAGUUACUUCCGGAAAUGCCAUUUGGACCCCCCACAUGCGGAGAGCAUCGCAACAGAAACCCAGCCAUGUGUUCCGGCCUUCCCGUGCACUCUCUGGCCUAAACAUCGUCUGUCCGAGCGAGCUCCCAGCUCUUGCAGCUCGCCCCAGGCAGUGGCACGGCUGGUUGACAGUACAGCAUGGAAAUAGAGCUGUUUCCUCAAGACUCGUGUACAUCGAUCUGUGCCAUAAUUUAAGGAUAAAUGAAUGGAAGAACAGGUACAUAAAAAACUAUAACUGUACACAGCCUUUAAAUUAAAAA